rnacentral:rRNA from 1 species
AGAGUUUGAUCAUGGCUCAGAACGUACGCUGGCGGCACGCCUAACACAUGCAAGUCGAACGAAGUAGCAAUACUUAGUGGCAGACGGGUGAGUAACAUGUGGGUAUCUGCCCUUUGGCCUGGAAUAACACGAGGAAACUUGUGCUAAUACCGGAUAAGUCUUUACGGAGAAAGCUUUAUGCACCAUUGGAUGAGCCCGCACUUGAUUAGUUAGUUGGUAGGGUAAUGGCCUACCAAGACUAUGAUCAAUAGCUGAUUUGAGAGGAUGAUCAGCCACAUUGGGACUGAGACACGGCCCAAACUCCUACGGGAGGCAGCAGUGGGGAAUCUUGCACAAUGGAGGAAACUCUGAUGCAGCGAUGCCGCGUGAGUGAAGAAGGCCCUUGGGUUGUAAAGCUCUUUCGUCGGGGAAGAAAAUGACUGUACCCGAAUAAGAAGGUCCGGCUAACUUCGUGCCAGCAGCCGCGGUAAUACGAAGGGACCUAGCGUAGUUCGGAAUUACUGGGCUUAAAGAGUUCGUAGGUGGUUGAAAAAGUUGGUGGUGAAAUCCCAGAGCUUAACUCUGGAACUGCCAUCAAAACUUUUCAGCUAGAGUAUGAUAGAGGAAAGCAGAAUUUCUAGUGUAGAGGUGAAAUUCGUAGAUAUUAGAAAGAAUACCAAUUGCGAAGGCAGCUUUCUGGAUCAUUACUGACACUGAGGAACGAAAGCAUGGGUAGCGAAGAGGAUUAGAUACCCUCGUAGUCCAUGCCGUAAACGAUGUGUGUUAGACGUUGGAAAUUUAUUUUUCAGUGUCGCAGCGAAAGCGAUAAACACACC